rnacentral:lncRNA from 1 species
GCACCUAAACGACUCAGUGAGGGAUAGCCACUCACGACAGCAAAAACACAGCAACCUACUCUCGAUCACCUGCAAGUUACUCAUACGAAGAGCAACAUUUUCAAGCAGAAGGGGUGAGAUUCACAAUCAAUAAUAAUAAUAUAAAAUUCAUCAAAUGCAUCUAACAACUUAAACUCCAUCAAUUAGUAAUAAUAAUUCUUUUAACGACUCCUAAACCAUAUCAUGUACUCAUCAUAUCAACAGUCAUAACCCGAUAUCAUAAACAAUCAUCAUAACAUCAUCAUUUAACUUCAUAAUCAACAUCUUAAUCACAAUCAUAUAACAUCAUACUCAUAAUUCAUAUACAACAUGACAACUUCAUAAUCAAUGACAUAAACAACGUAACAACAUCAUAUUCAUAGUUCAUAUACACAUAACAACAUCAUUAAUUCGUAUUAACAUUCUCCACCAAGCACCUUAUUAACAACUCAUGAAUAGAGGACAACUUAGCAACUAUACGUAACAUCAUCAUUUCAUAAUAAUAAUUAUUCAUCAAACAUUCCAUUAGCAAUUCAUGAAUAAAAGACAACUUAUCAACUUAACAUAACAAUCAUCAAGUACAUUUAACAACUCAUAAAUAACAUCACAUAAUCAUCAUCACAACAUACAUAAUCAUCAUCAUGUAACAUCAUAACAACCUCAUAUUCAACACCAUAAACAGUCAUCAUAACAUCGUAAUCAAUAUCAUAAACAUCUUCUCAUAAUAAUAUAAACGACACAACAUAAUCAUCACAUCAUAACAAUAUAAACAACUACAUAUAUUUAACAAUAAUGUUCUUACUUCUUAAUCUUUAGUAACACUUACUAAUUCAACCAACAACGACGAUAACUACAAUUAUCCAAUAUAUGUAUAUAUUUCAUAAUCAACAAUAUCAUCAAUAAUAGAUAUCUAACUCUUCAAUUUAAUCUUACACCCUGUCAUCGUAAUAAUUCAUCAAUAUAUAAGUAUAUCAUCAUUAACAACAUCAACAACAAAUGGUAAUUAAAACCAAUAACAACGACUCAUGCAACAACUCGACACCACCGCUAAGACUCAUGCAAGACAUGACAACUCCACUAAGACUCCUCAACAAAUGCAACUAUGCAUGUGGUACCAUAUCAGAGCCGAAGCCCUCAUCGUUAUAGAAUGGUUAAAGCAUUCUUUUAUCAGGACAUGAGUCCUCAUCGUUAACAUCGUUUUGAACAACAUCGUGUUCCAUCGUUUUGAACGACAAAGCGUUCCAGGACCGAAGUCCUCAUCGUUUUUAUGCUUAUGCAACUGACUCCACUUGUGUAUAUCUGCAUACAACUCAACGACAAAUGCAUAUGUACUUAUAUGACUCACACCCUUUAAUGCAACUGACUCCACUUGUGUAUAUCUACAUACAACUCAACAACAUCAACGACAACCACUACUCAUCAAUGCAUAUAUGUAAAUAUGACUUCACCUCGACAAUCCAAUUAAUAAUACUUCAACCUUUGAAAAGAAUUCAGCAACAUGUAUAAUUUAUUUAAAUAUAAAUAUACAUCACAGUCAACAAUAAUUCAUCAUAAUUGAUCCAACGAUUCCAGAAAAUACACAAUUAAUCAUCUCUAAAUUCACUAAACUCGACAACGGCAACAUAGGCAGCACAUAAACAUCUCAAGAUAUAACAAUAUCAAAUGAUAAUCAAUAUCAACUUAAACAUCUUAUAUAAUCCACAUAAUGCAUAUACAAAUAUAUCUCAUUACUAACAACAUCAAAUCAUAUUAUAUCUGACUCACUCAACAUCAACAGUACUAUAAUCAACCUCCAUUCCUACCCCAAGGGUCAACUCACAACAUGGGUUAAAUACUCUUAAACACCUUAAUUACACUCAUAUUACUUCUAGUUUUGAGCCUUGGAAUUAUCCCACCAGUUUUGGAUUAACUUGGAAAAUGUUUUGCUGAAUUUUCAUAAAAUUUCCCUAAGACCUACUUGGAGUAUUUUCAUCAUAAAUCCUAAACCAAAAAUCAUUUUAGAGUCAAACCAAAUCCAUUGGAAAGCUAACAAAAUUAUCUACAACUUUCAUGUUUACACCAAAGGCCAAUUCAAGACAGAAACGUAUGAAAAAGACACAAGAACGCAAAAUAAGAAAUGCUGUCAAAGGCACUUCGCUUAAGCGAAUGAGUCUUCGCUUAAGCGAACUACUUACAGUAGCUGUUCGCUUACAGCUCGCUUCCGGCUCGCUUAAGCGAACAGUCAUCGUUUCUGCAUAAUUUUUCACGGGUUUAAACCAUUUUUCACCCCAAAACUCCCAAUUUUGAUCUCCCAAUGCCCAACAUGUUUCCAAAGAUUGUUUAUAGGUUCAUUAUGCAAUUAGGCAUCUAAAUAAACAUAAAACAUGCAUCAACAACAACAAUUCAGAUCAUUCUAGCAAUCAAACAAAACUUCUCCAAUUAUCCAACAAAUUCUAAUCUCCUCAUAAUUCUGAUCACAACAACAUUAUAGAUUAAGAAAUCAUUCUAAACACUAAACUAAACACAUUAAACCUGAUUCUUGCACCAUCCCUUUCAAAUUAGCAUCAACCCUAAUUCCCAAUUUUAUUCUCAUGAACAAUUCAAUUGAUUAAUUUUCAGAAAUUACAUAUUAUGAUUAUUGGAAGAUAAUCUCACCCUUACCUUAGAAUUGCGAAGACAAAGAAAACACAGCAAUCGAUUCUCUAGUUCUUCUCUCUUGGUCUUCUCUCCUUGCCUUAGCUUUUCUCCUUCCCAACUUGUUUUCACGUUAAACAGUUUUCUGACCUUUUCUUUCCUUAACUCCCUAAAACUAUAACCUCUCUAUUUUCAUAAAAACCUCCCUUAUUACUAUUAAUUUCUAAUUAUUCCUCAACCUCCUAAAUAAUUCCAUUACUCAUAUUAUUCUAUUUAUAUUAAAUAAAUUAUAUAAAUAAAUACUACACACCACAAAAUCAACCAAUAUUAUUUAAAAUCACAUAAAUUAUAUAAAUAUAUCCUAACUCAAUAAAAAUAAUCAAAUAAUCAAAUAAUUCAAGGAGGGUGUUACAGGAUUCACAUUUCCUCAUUUCAUCUAUAAAUAGAGGCAAUGUCAAUGAAGGAAAUCAUCUGAAGCUUAAAGAAAUACAAAGCUUCAGCAUCAAAGCAUAAGUGAAAAUACAAAGCUUCUGUGUGUGUAGAAGUGUGUGUGAGGAAAAAUAGAGUAUUGAGUAAAUCCAGAGAGUGUGGAUAAAAUACACCGGGUGGGAAUCAUCUCUAUAACUUCUAGGUGCUAUAAAACAAUUGCAUUCGAAUAGGAGUGGGUCUCACGGGAAACACUAUAUUGUAUCUCGGUAUUAGAGGGUUUUCCACGUUAAAUAUUGGUGUUCAUUUUUAUCGCUACCGCUAGGGGUGGGAAUAGGCCAGGCUAGGCCAGGCUUUGAUAGGCCUGAGCCUGGCCUACGAAAUAAAUCACAAGCCUGAGCCUGGCCUAUGGCCUAUCAUAGGCCGUUUUUCUAGGCCUGGCCUGGCCUAUUUAAAAGCCUGGACUGGCCUGAAAGCCUACUUCACAUUAAGGCCAUCAAAUAGUUCAUUUGGCCUACUAAAUAGGUUAAACAUGUCUUAAAGCCUACUUAAAAGCCUAUUUCACUAGAAGUAAAUUUCAACUAGAUUAAAGCCUACAUAAAAGCCUAUAACAACAAAGCAUAUUAAGGGACUAAUAGAUAGAGAAAAAGAUGUUUAUAUUUUUAAUAUAUGCAAUUAUUUUAAUAUAAAAAAAUAUUUUUUAAUAAAUAAGUAUUAAUAGGCCGGCCUAUUAGGCUUAACAGUCUUUUUUUGAAGCCUAAGUUUGGCCUAUUUAACUAAACAGACUUUCUAAAAGGCCUAAGCCUAGGCUUAUCUACUAAACAGUCCAGGCCAGGCCAGGCCAAAACAGGCCAGGUCGUAGGCCCCUGUAGGCCGGCCUGGCCUAUUCCCAACCCUAGCUACCGCUGCGCUGCAAGAUCCAAUCUGUUUUGGAUUUUGAAAUUUUAAUUUACACUUGCAUUAAGCUCGUCGAUCCCAACAAGUGGUAUCGGAGCUCCAGUUGGAGCUCGAGAUUAUAGUGUAAAUUAAAUGGAAGAGAACAUUGGUAACACUGGUACAAUGAUUAAACUCACUUCUACAAACUACUCCAUUUGGAAGCCAAAAAUGGAGGAUAUACUUUACUGCAAGGAUAUGUAUGAUCCUGUAGAAAAGGGAGACACUAAGCCAUAUAAGGUGACAAAUGAAGACUGGAAAAAGUCUCAUCGGAAGGCUGUCAGUCUCAUCAGGCAGCGGGUGGAUCUUAGUGUAUUCCACCAUGUGGUCAUAGAGACAAAUGCCCAGACUCUGUGGAAGAACAUCAAAAAGAUGUAUCAAAGAAAGAUCGCACAAAACAAAACUUUCGCUAUUAAAAAUUUGGUGAAUUUAAAGUAUCGGGAGGGAAGAUCAGUUGUCGAGCACUUGAGUGACUUUCAAGACUUGGUAAACCAAUUGGUUGCCAUGAACAUGAUUAAUAUCACUAAAAACGUAUAUGGUGAAUCUGCGAACAAACUCACAACACCCAAGUUAAUAGCAUACAACGGCAAAAUGCCUACAAAUAAUAUGAUGAAAUCUAAAUCACCAGAAUACCCAUGCUUCUGGAUCUGCAACGUUGACGCCCAAAUCAUUGAUUGAAUUUGUGAUUGUCAGAAGCUGAUCUUUCAAUACAAACCAAACGAACACCGCACAACAAAAGAUGCGAAAUCAAACAACACCUCAUAAGACGACAAACAACACAACGUCGCACUAAAACGACGAAAUCACGAAAGAAAAACUUGAUGUAUGUGAAAAUCACUUAUUUGGAUUGAAAAAAAGGGGAAAAAAGAUGCAGAGGGUGAUUCUAGGUCAAAAAUUGACAUAAAAUCAUCCCUCCUCGAUGAGUAAAAGAGGAAGAAAACUUAGAGAGAAGACAGAGUUUCUCUCAUUAAAAAAUUAGGGCCGACUAUUGUUUUACUUGCAACGUACGCUUCAGCAAGUUCUACCGUCACUUUUUUUGUAGAGAUUAUCUUUUAAGAGUUUAAUUAAUAUUAAGCACUAUGGGAUCAAAUAAAUCUAAAAAAGAGACAAUAGAAUAUAGGCAUGUUUAGUCAUUCGUGCUUUACACUGCGAAUUAUUUUUCGCACAAUUAAGCAUUUUUCAAAAAAAAAAACUGGUUGCAUUCAUCUCAAGUAAUCCACUCUUUCUAGCCUAUGGUUAAAAGUUGCAGUACAAAUAUCAAAUUGAAAAAUGCUAUGUACAGCGAUAAAUAGUUCACAAAUUCAUUACGCUAAGUGCAGAUUCAGUUAAGACCAUGUAUAAUGGGAAAAAAAUUUCAAUACUCUUUAACAUCUAUUUUUUCAAUUUUCAACACUCCACGUCAUUUUCUCUAUCAUAAUUCAACACCCAUUCAAUUUUUACCUCUCCAAUAGUUUUUUCAUUCAACACUCUACCCUACCACCUUUUAUUUCUUAUUCUUAUUUAAUUUUAUAUUUUUAUUUUUAUAAUUAACUAAAAUUAUCGAUUAUAAUUAAAUUAAAAUAAUACAAUCAACUAUUUUUUUUUUUUUUGGAAAAACAAAAUUUUGUAAAAUAAUUUAUUUUUAUUUUCUUAACUUAAAAUGCGACACACAAAUAACUUAAAAUGCAAGACAACAAACUAAACACGCGACACACAAAUAACUUAAAAUGGAAGACAACAAACUAAGCAUACAACACACAAGUAAUUAUUUAAGUAUAACUUAAAAUUGAUUUGGGUUUUGAAGAUGUUGGUUGGGAAAUUGAUUUGGUUGUUGAUAAUUGUAGGGAUUUUGGUAGCUAAAUGAGUAAUCAGAAGAAUUUUGGGUGUUGAAUUGAUUAUUAUUGGGAUCCAUUUUACUAAACAAAGACUAAAACUUCAAAAGAAAUGCUAAUAAUAAGAUUAAGAGAGUGAAAAAUUUGAUUUUUUUUUUCUGUGUCCAAAUCAAAUGAUCCAAGUUUCUAUUUGUAGAGGAAAAAAAAUCACGAAUUUUGGUAAAAAAAAAAUAUUUUUUUUUUAUUUGCUAUGAAAUAAUUGAGUCCAAAUUAUUAAGAAAAUAAAAAUCCAAGCAGCCAAUCGUAACAAGUCACGUGUCACUGCAGACCAGGCUUUCAACAUGUUGAACCUUUUCAACACCUCUCUCAUCUUCCCUCAUAUUCAAUAGCCUCCUCCAAUGGUCUCAACAUGUUGAAUAUGGCAUUCAACAAGCCAUUGUAAAUGGUCUAAAUAUCACCACUCCUUAGUCCUUACAUGAUUGCCGUGAAUUCUGGAUUUUAAGUGGGAAUGAAAUUGUCAAAUUUUCACUCAAUACAUCUUGAAAACCUUGUGAAUUAUAAAUUCCCUAGAUAUAGCACUCCUCUAUCAAAUUUAACGGUAUAUAUAUAUAUAUAUAUAUAUAUAUAUAUAUAUAUAUAUAUAUAUAUAUAUAUAUAUAUAUAUAAUUUUAGAGUUAUGAUAUUUGAACAAUCAUUUUUAUGACAACUUUUUAUACAUCCAUAAAUUUACAAAGAAAAAAUGGUAUUGACACAAAAAUAGUAAUAGAGAGAGAAAGUAAAAACAUAAUGUCAGUACAAGAGAAAAAUUGUCACAAAAGUUGUCAAAAAAGAUCGUAGUCUUUAAAAAAACAUUGCGACCCAGCUCAGGGUCCUCAAUCCUCAUACGCCAAUGGUAUGCAUGUAUUGCCUAAAGAAAAAAUUAGAGCAUCUACAAUGAUGAGGUCUUCACCAUUUAAGACCUAGUACCUAACAAGUACUCCCAUUGUGGGAAUUUUUUUUGGGGAUCUUGUAAGACUUGGGGUCUAACUUAAGACCCUCCAUCUUUAAGUGAUCCCCACACACUUUUUUAUUAAAAUAAUAUGUUAGUGGUGAAAUUUAAAUGAUUAAAAGUUAGUAGUGGAACUCAUUUAAAUUUUUUGUUAGAAGAUCUCUAUUGAAGUGACUGAGUACCUGUUAAAGCAUCUCCAACGCUGGUUGCUUACUACCCAGGUGGAUGCAUAAGUUCCGUCUCUUAACUUUUUCAGCAUUGGAGCAAAUACAGGUAGUUUGAUUGCUUAAUUUUCAGUCAUUUGCUUAUUUAAGCAAUGCAAAAAGUGUGUUGCUUCUCAUUAAAAAAAAACAAUAAAAUAUGGCUGAAAUCUGAACAGAAAAUCACGGACCAGAGGGAACAAAACAGAUUAACCUAUAACAAUGGAAUUCAGAAAAUCAAUGGUGAUUGUUGUAUCGCUGGAUUUGGGUGAGGAAAGAAAAACAGAGUGGAGAGUUCUAGAUACAAGAAGAAAGUGUGGGUGGGUUGAAAAUCAAUGGAACCAUCAAAAUGAAUGUUUUAUUAAGAAUAAUGAUAUAGUUAAUUAGGACACUAGUGUAGUUACUAUAUAACUUAUAUGGUUGACUCAUUAUACUAAUCUCUUUUAUUUUUGUAUCAUUUUAACUAUUAUCAAUACAAUAAUUUCUAAGCUUUUUCUCUCUAUUUUCAUGGAUGUCAUGUUUCUCAACAUGGUAUCAGAGCAUGAUUGGUAUCCACCUUGAACAAUUUUUUCCGCUGCAUUUUCUCGGGAAAGUUUGUUUUUCUCGUGCUAUUUUCCUUUUCUUCCUCAUUCUGAUUUUUCCCCUUUUCUCACUUCAUUUUCGUCAUUUUCCUUUUUCUAAUUCUCGAGAGAACAUCGAUUCCUCCUUUGUUCUUCGAUUCAGUUCGCUUUCUUCCACAUUUGUUCUUGAUUUUCAUUCUUUUCUUUCUGUUUCGAUCAAUUCCAUUUUGCGAUUUUGUUUUCAUCGCGAUUUGUUCUCUUCAUCUUCUUAAUCCCAACUUCUAGGGUUCAAAUUCUGUUUCUAAUUUUUGUUAUUCGGAAUACAAUUCUCGUUCGAUUUUCGAUCCUGUUUUAUCGUAAUUCAUGUUUUCCCCAAAUCUUAGGGUUUUUGUUUUGUUCUUCUUCUUUUUGAUUGAAUCAAUCAUUCAAUUUCUGGAUUCGGUUCAAUCUCUCUCAUUUCUUGUUCGGUUCUUUCAUUAGAAUCCAAUUUUUUGAUGAACCAGUGAUGUAUUUUCUAGUUACUUUCGCUUUUGAUUUUUCUCGCUUCGGAUCUUUCAAUUCAAUUUAUUUUCUUUUCUAUUCCAGUUUUUUUUUAUCUUCAUUCCAUAAUCGCAAAUUGAUUCUCAGAGUUUGAUAUGGUUAUGGUGCUUUGGGUUUCGCUUUGAAGGGAGUCAGAUUGUUUGCAUUUUGAAUCUUGGAAUCCUUGGAUGUUACUUUGAGUUCAGAGUUCGACGACAUCGACGGUGACUUGGCUCUGCAUACAUAUGCUUUGUGUGGAGGUUACAUGAUUGAAAAUUGAUGAUUCAAAAGAUUUAUUCACUGGUAAUUGCAAGCAAGGCUUAUGGUAAUUGAAAAUCGCCAGUAUUGUUGGGGUUGUGCACCUGCUGCAUGUUUAUAGAAGAGUUCUUGGUUUGUCUGCAAGCAAUAUUCUCAUAUGAAGAUAGAAGGCAUUUUUUAGUUGGAUUUUAUGAUGGUUGUGGUUGGUUUUGCUACAGCAAGUGCUAGUAUAUGGAUAAAGAAGACUUACAUAUUGGUGCUUAUUCCUUCACAAUAUAGGUUGGUUUUAUUUGAAUGAGGUUUUGUUGCGGCCAAUAUAUAGCUAUAGCAGAGUUACAGAGUUGAAGUUUUGCGAAAAACAUUAUUGGGAAAGUGGUGUGAGAUAGACUACACAGUGAAGCUUCAGGAAUUUUUUUGUUCUAGUUAUGUAAAUGUUCACAGCACUUGUUUUGGUGCUUUAUCUCUGAUGGUGUCACCACAUUAGUUGCUCCCAAUCAAGUGGAAUACCUCUAGUGCUUCGUCGGUUUAAUUUGGUGGUUUGUUGUUACUGAUUGGUGUCUAUGGGUUGAAGACACAUUUCACUUCAUACUCUGGUGAUUUUAGUCCAAUGGUGAUUAGCCUUUUUGGCUUGUUUUUAGCUUCUGUCAAUGGUUGUUAAGGGUGACACUUCUUCCAUUGAUGGUUAAGCAUUGAUAUUUUGUUGAUGAUUGCUUCUGCCUUUGUUAGGUGGUUAAGCUUGUUGUUUUUAACUUCUGUCUAUGAUGGUUAAGCAUGAUGCUUCUGUUAUGGAUGGUUAAGCAUUUAUAGUUGAGCUUCUGUCUAUGAUGGUUAAGCAUGAUGCUUCUAUCAUAGAUGGUUAAGCAUUUUUGUUAGCUUCUACCCUAUGGUGCACUCUUCAUAUUUUCUUUCUAGCUUCUGCCCUAUGGUGGUUAAGCACUCUUCAUAUUCUCUCUCGCUUCUGCCCUAUGGUGGUUAAGCAUUAUGCCCUUUGUUGGCUUUAUUGAUUUUAGCUUCUGUAAAGUGGUUAAGCCUCGAGUUUUGGCUUCUGCUCAAUGGUUAAGUGUUUUGCCUUAUGGCUUUGAUUAGUUACUACUUGAGUUCAGAUAUUGUUUGGAUUUGGCUUGGUGAAGCAUUGCUUACACAUCUACUUUGUUGGAGGGACUUCGGUAGCACAAGGUUCUGCAAUUGUUGUUGGCCUUUCUAGUUUACUAGUGGUUUAUUGGAUUUACAUAUCAUUGGCACUGCCCUAUUUUGGAAUAGUUGUUGAUACUAUCCUGCUGAAUAUUUGAGUUUUCUUUUGGCAUAUGGAUGUUGCGGAGACGUUGUAGGAAGCUUGCGAGGACCCAAAAGUUGGUCAACGGCUUCUAGGAGCUAUGCACCUCAACUUGUCAUAUACUUCUGCACUUUAUUUCUUCUGUUUGCUGUUAAGCUUUGUAGUUCAAACUCAAGUUAAGAGUUCUCUUACCUUGAGUUUGAGGGAGGCUAUUAAGAAUAAUGAUAUAGUUAAUUAGGACGCUAGUGUAGUUACUAUAUAAGUCACAUGGUUGACUCAUUUGUACUAAUCUCUUUUAUUCUUGUAUCAUUUCAACUAUUAUCAAUACAAUAAUUUAUAAGCUUUUUCUCUCUA